UACGUAGGGUGCAAGCGUUGUCCGGAAUUAUUGGGCGUAAAGAGCUCGUAGGCGGUGUGUCGCGUCGGCCGUGAAAACCUGGGGCUCAACUCUGGGCGUGCGGUCGAUACGGGCAUCACUUGAGUUCGGCAGGGGAGACUGGAAUUCCUGGUGUAGCGGUGAAAUGCGCAGAUAUCAGGAGGAACACCGGUGGCGAAGGCGGGUCUCUGGGCCGUAACUGACGCUGAGGAGCGAAAGCGUGGGGAGCGAACAGG
rnacentral:rRNA from 1 species